UUAUUAUUGAACAAUUCUUACACGUGACCAGGACCUUUUCCGAGCCCCCAAUCACUCACGACGAAGCUUCAUGUUGAAACAAUCAUAAUUAUUACAGGAAAAGGAAAUAUAAAAGAAAACGAAUACGCGUCGACUCUCCUAUUAAUAAUAGAGUAUUAGAAUACAACAAUCUCAUUCUCCCUCAGGCGAAGCCGCUGAGUUUUUCUUAUUGCCGAUCGCCAUGGCACCGGUUUACACUGCAGUACUCAGGAAAGAUAAACCCAGAGGACGUCACGGGUUAACUACACAGAAUAAGCAGAAGAUAAAAAAAGCAUUUGAGCGGGCUACUGAUGGCUCUGGAACCAUUGAUGCAAAAGAGUUGAAUGUUGCCAUGAGGGAUCUAGGUUUUGAAAUGACAGAAGAGGAAAUUAAUAGAAUGAUAGCUGAACUAGACAAGGACAGCAGUGGUGCAAUUGACUUAGAUAAAUUGACAGCCAAAUUUGGGGAAUGGGAAACUGGAGUUGAGCUAAUGAAAGCUUUUCACAUUAUUGACCAAGAUAAAAAUGGGAAAAUUUCUGCUGCAGACAUUCAGCGCAUUGCCAAGGAAUUGGGCGAACGUUUCAGCGAAAGAGAUAUUCAAGGCAUGAUUGACGAAGCAGAUCAAGAUCUUGUCUUUCAUAGGGAAAUAGAAGAUCCCAAAUAUUGACUAGUUUGGUUCGAUUCAACCAAGAAGAACCACCAGACGAUGGUGAAGUUGAUGACAAGGAGUUCUUGAGAAUGAUGAGGAGAACUUCAUAUGGGUAAUAGGGAUAAUCACACCUGUGUCCAUGUUCGAGAAUGUUUUAUUUGUCUUCAUUCUAUGUUAUUGUAUAACCUACCGGUUAUUGUAUAAUAUGUUCUUGAAUAAUGAACAAUGUAGGAAGUUGAUUUGAUUUGAUUGAAUUAUUGUUUAAAGAACAUGGUUACAUGAAAAUAUCCAGGCUUGUUGCUGUUCAAAAAUGCCGUGCAAUUGUCCCGUUGAGUUUGCCAUUACAGAUUUCUGCUACCCACAUAGUAGUGUGAUAUGAAAAUCUUGCGGGAUCCAGUCUUUGUUGAUUAUCAAUGCUAUUUAUGUUCCCCUUGAGCCUUAUUGCUUAUAUACUGCUAUUUGAAUCAGUUGAUCUAAGGACAGUUGUGAAAUCGUAUAGACCCUUUCUAAAUAAGAAUACUCAUUUUCAACUACUCUACCGUCUUGUGUGCCUUAUGGACCAAUUUUGGGUCUAAAAUUGCCUUCUCUAGUUGCUGUUAAAUUCAUCCCAGCUAUACGUUGUACUGCCAUGGUGAUAUGUACUUCCACCUCUUCGUCCAGCCUGCCUUGUGCUGGCGCCCUCUCUAGCUAUAGUGUUGUGCAUUGAGCAAUCUUGGUGAAGACCUCGGAUCUCUCUACGCAGAUUGCAUUUAGUGAACCUCAGCAUGGCUUGGAUCUUAUCAAUUACCUCUGUUGCCUUAGUUCACGACGAGUUCUUGCUAAGUCGUCCUUGCACGAUCACUGGUGAUUUAUGAAUGCUUGGUAUACCGUAUAUAGUAUGCAGAAUAUCAACCUUUCAGAGCACCUUCCGUUUCCCUAAGCGGAUAACUCGGAAGAUUCUUUAAGAGUGAAUUUCGUCAACUGAGUGGUUUUAGAUUGUACCAUCAUCAUAUAAUGGAUAAGGUUUAAAUUUUCAUCUUUCA